UAAUACGUAGGGUGCGAGCGUUAAUCGGAAUUACUGGGCGUAAAGCGUGCGCAGGCGGCUUUGUAAGACAGGUGUGAAAUCCCCGGGCUUAACCUGGGAACUGCGCUUGUGACUGCAAGGCUUGAGUGUGGCAGAGGGGGGUGGAAUUCCCCGUGUAGCAGUGAAAUGCGUAGAGAUGUGGAGGAACACCGAUGGCGAAGGCAGCCCCUGGGUCAACACUGUCGCUCAUGCGCGAAAGCGUGGGUAGCCAACAGG
rnacentral:rRNA from 1 species